UACGGAGGGGGCUAGCGUUGUUCGGAAUUACUGGGCGUAAAGCGCACGUAGGCGGAUCAGUUAGUCGGGGGUGAAAUCCCGGGGCUCAACCCCGGAACUGCCUUCGAUACUGCUGGUCUGGAGUCCGAGAGAGGUGAGUGGAAUUCCGAGUGUAGAGGUGAAAUUCGUAGAUAUUCGGAAGAACACCAGUGGCGAAGGCGGCUCACUGGCCCGGUACUGACGCUGAGGUGCGAAAGCGUGGGGAGCGAACCGG
rnacentral:rRNA from 1 species